rnacentral:ncRNA from 12 species
GGGUCCGGGAUCAUUUUCCGGAGGGUGUUUAAGAUGGUCGGGCCGCCAUCCU